UCUUGUGAGUUAUACUAUGGUUGCAAGCACCCAUUGAAACUUGUGAUUUUUAGUUGGAAAUCUCAAGUAUAAUCUUGAGGACUAAACGUAGACCAAGUUUUAGGCUGUACCAGUAUAAAUCUCAUAUAUAUUAUCUCUUUCCUCCUUGCACAAGUCUUUCCUACUCUUUAACCUUUUAAGAAAUUUUUAAUGUCACCUAAUUCACCCCCCUCUUGGGUGCCAGCCUAUCCAACUGCUGCAACUUAUCAUCAUUUUACCCCGUCUCUUUCUCCUCCUCAUUAAAGUCUUCACUCUCCCUCUGCACUUCUCAUUAUCUCCCCAUCUACCUCUUCACUUCCAAACCCAAAAAUAAAACUUGAUUGAAAACAAAACAAGGAAUUUGGGAUUGUGAUGUGAUCAAAGAACAAGAUUGAAUAAAUCUAAAAAUCAACAAAACCAAAAAUAAAAAAUCAAAUGAAAGAAUUGAGCAAGAUAACCUAGAUAAAUACUCAAUCAAACACAAGUUUAACAAUUAUAUAACUAACAAACCUAGAAAUCAAAAGCAAGAAAAAAAAAACCCAAAACCUUAUUCAGCUAUCCAGGUGCGAUAUCCAUAUCAACAUCUACCAUGGCUGUGACCAAGAACUGAGAAUUGAAGAGUGGAGAAGGGGAAAUCAAGAUUUAAAUUCAAAUUCAAAACUACCCAAAUCAAUCCCAAAAAUCAAAAACCACUAUCAAAAUUCAUCCAUAGCAAUCAAGCCAAAAAUUCACCCACGUCAGAGAACAAAAGAACUACUAUCAAAAGUAAAGCUAGAAAUCAAAAUCAAAAUAUUUAAAGAGUACAAUCUAUAAGCAAUGAUACAAACAUAGUUUCUCAACAGCAAUCAAAAUCCAUCAACAAAAUCAAAGAAAAAUAAAAGGCAAUUAAACCACUAUUGUAAUAACCCUAACAAAAUUUAAACUGAAUAAAUAAAUAAAUAUAUAUAUAGGGUAACUUACUUAAAGUGGGUUUAUAUUAGUUUUUGGGAUAAAUAUAGCAAGUCAGAGACUUGGUCUAGUGGCAGCUGAGGAAGGCUUCAUAUAACAGGUCCCCAGUUCGAAUCCGGAAGAGUACAAAAGAAGAGUUAAAAUUUUUUUUUAUUUUUCUGGUCAUGCAAAAUUACCAUAUUACCAUUGGUUUCAUCAGAUUUUUUUUAAAACUCUUUCUUUCUUCUUUCUCGAUGGAUCUGGACCAGAGAAGAGCUUUGAGAGCACCGACGUUUUGCUAUGCCUCUCAACUGAAGCUACCUUCUUCCUCCUCCACCGAAGCCAACAACGUCGUUCGUGUAGCCGCCGUUGAAGCUCUGCUUGUUUGCUCACCUCAGCUGUGAUUUUUUUUUAAGUUCUUGUUGUUCGUCCAUCCCCUCUGCUGCUGAUUCAAGAAUGAAAAGUUUUUCUUUCUCUUAGCUCCUGGUUCGCGUGGGUAUAAAAGAUUUGGUUUUCUUCACUGUUCAUCAUCGUUCUCUUUCCUCUGUCUGUGCGUGUUGAUUCAUUGGAGGGUGUGUGGAAGAACAAGACCCUGAAAAGACUUAAAAGAAGAAUACUUUCAGGAGUUAGAACUUCAACAGAUUGGUUAGCUGAUGCCAAUUCCACCAACGACCUCAAAAAUGGCAACUAGCUACAGUGGGUGGAUCUUUUUAAUUGGUAUUGCCACUUUAAUGUAAAUAUAUAAAUUGUAUGUCUUUUUGAAUUGAAAGAAAGAGUAGAUGCUCCACAUAGGUUGUUGAUGAAUCUUAUUUUUGCCUGUAUAUUGGUUGCUGGCUGGAAGGAGCUAUGCUCCUGACUUAUACUGUUAGUUGUAAAAAUUUUUGUUGUAAAAUUUUCGGAAGAUCUUAGUUACAGGGGAGGUUCUGCCAAAAUUUUUACAAAUAUGUCGACGCUUUCUUAUGAAAAAUGAAAAAAAAUGAAAUGAAAUAAAUGUUCAUUUGGA